rnacentral:rRNA from 1 species
AUUGAACGCUGGCGGCAUGCCUUACACAUGCAAGUCGAACGGCAGCACGGGUGCUUGCACCUGGUGGCGAGUGGCGAACGGGUGAGUAAUACAUCGGAACAUGUCCUGUAGUGGGGGAUAGCCCGGCGAAAGCCGGAUUAAUACCGCAUACGAUCUACGGAUGAAAGCGGGGGACCUUCGGGCCUCGCGCUAUAGGGUUGGCCGAUGGCUGAUUAGCUAGUUGGUGGGGUAAAGGCCUACCAAGGCGACGAUCAGUAGCUGGUCUGAGAGGACGACCAGCCACACUGGGGCUGAGACACGGCCCAGACUCCUACGGGAGGCAGCAGUGGGGAAUUUUGGACAAAGGGCGAAAGCCUGAUCCAGCAAUGCCGCGUGUGUGAAGAAGGCCUUCGGGUUGUAAAGCACUUUUGUCCGGAAAGAAAUCCUUGGCUCUAAUACAGUCGGGGGAUGACGGUACCGGAAGAAUAAGCACCGGCUAACUACGUG